CGGGCUGGAUUUUCAGCAAAGGGUCUUCAGUAACUUUGGUAGAAGUCUCCUCCGAAGCGCUUCGCCUUGUGGUGCGCUUUGGAGGUGGAGGUUUGGUGCCUUUCUUCUUCGGCGGUUGGGUACUGCCGGAGCCCUCUCCUUUGGUUUUUGCCAUUGCGAGUUGCAGAGUUCUAAAAACUAGAAUUUGUGUAGGAGUUCGGAUUCUGUGGGAAUUUUGGGGGUAGGGUUUGCUUUUAAGAAAGGUGAUCGGCAGUUAUGGAAAUUUAGGGUUUGAGGUGAGUGGUGAUCGUGGUGUAGCAGUUUCCGGAGGUUAGGGUUUGUGGGGAAGAAAAUCGUGGGUUAAGGCUUUGAAUAUGGUAAGUGUGGCGGUUAUGGCAGAAAAAGGAUUUUAAGGAAUAAAAUCAUGACCGAAAUUUGAAAUUCAAAUUUUCUGCGGAAACCGAAGGGUUGCAGUCCCAUCGCCGCCUGCCCCUGACACGCUUGCGUCAUUUCCCUGCGUAAGCCCUCUCCCAGACCGUUCCAAUCCCUAGCUCUCCACCUACACACUUUGCAACGCAAAGUGGGCUCGGAUCAACCUCUGGGCCUUUUUCCAAUUAUCUCGGCCCGACUUAUC
rnacentral:lncRNA from 1 species